AAGGAUUUAAGUUAAAUAAACUAUUAACCUUCAAAGUUAAAAAUAUAUAGGAAUAUAAGCCUUA
rnacentral:tRNA from 1 species